UACGAGGGGGGCAAGCGUUGUUCGGAAUUAUUGGGCGUAAAGGGCGCGUAGGCGGUGCGGUAAGUCACCUGUGAAAACUCUGGGCUCAACUCAGAGCCUGCAGGCGAAACUGCCGUGCUUGAGUGUGGGAGAGGUGCGUGGAAUUCCCGGUGUAGCGGUGAAAUGCGUAGAUAUCGGAAGGAACACCAGUGGCGAAGGCGGCUACCUGGACUGAUACUGACACUGAGGCGCGAAAGCGUGGGGAGCAAACAGG
rnacentral:rRNA from 1 species